UGCUCAGGAUGAACGCUGGCGGCGUGCUUAACACAUGCAAGUCGAACGGUGAAGCCCAGCUUGCUGGGUGGAUCAGUGGCGAACGGGUGAGUAACACGUGAGCAACCUGCCCCUGACUCUGGGAUAAGCGCUGGAAACGGCGUCUAAUACUGGAUACGAACCGCGACCGCAUGGUCAGUGGUUGGAAAGAAUUUCGGUUGGGGAUGGGCUCGCGGCCUAUCAGCUUGUUGGUGAGGUAAUGGCUCACCAAGGCGUCGACGGGUAGCCGGCCUGAGAGGGUGACCGGCCACACUGGGACUGAGACACGGCCCAGACUCCUACGGGAGGCAGCAGUGGGGAAUAUUGCACAAUGGGCGCAAGCCUGAUGCAGCAACGCCGCGUGAGGGAUGACGGCCUUCGGGUUGUAAACCUCUUUUAGCAGGGAAGAAGCGAAAGUGACGGUACCUGCAGAAAAAGCGCCGGCUAACUACGUGCCAGCAGCCGCGGUAAUACGUAGGGCGCAAGCGUUAUCCGGAAUUAUUGGGCGUAAAGAGCUCGUAGGCGGUUUGUCGCGUCUGCUGUGAAAUCCCGAGGCUCAACCUCGGGCCUGCAGUGGGUACGGGCAGACUAGAGUGCGGUAGGGGAGAUUGGAAUUCCUGGUGUAGCGGUGGAAUGCGCAGAUAUCAGGAGGAACACCGAUGGCGAAGGCAGAUCUCUGGGCCGUAACUGACGCUGAGGAGCGAAAGGGUGGGGAGCAAACAGGCUUAGAUACCCUGGUAGUCCACCCCGUAAACG
rnacentral:rRNA from 1 species